rnacentral:lncRNA from 1 species
CUACAAUUCACAGUAAUGUAUGUGCUUUGCUUUGUAAGUUGUAAACUAUUCAUUAGAUGCUAGCAUCGUUGGUUGGGAUAUUGACAAAUUAUUGAUGCAUUAGCAAUAAAGAAUCAGUAUCAUGGAUUUGCUGGUCUUAAAAUCCCCCAAAGCAAAUUUUUCUUUAUAGCCCAUCUCAGUGUAGAGACUAUUUAAAAUAUUACCUGUUUUUCUUCCCUACAGGGAAGAAAAACUGCUUGUCAACCUUAAUUAUGGAUAAUGGUCUCAUAUUUUAUUUACUCAUUUGACAAACAUGUGCAGAUCAUUUAUUAUGUAUUAUAUGUGCUAAGUGCUUGACAAAUAUUAACUCACACACAACCCCAUGUUGAUUAUUAUUGUUAAUAAUUAAUAUUAUCUGAAUCUUACUGUUAAUGAGACUGAAGCACAGAGAGGUUAAGGAACUUGCCCAAGUGACACAGCUAUUGGGUAGCAGAAUCAGGCCAUGAAACUGGGCAGGCUGCCUAUUAUAAACCUUUUAGCUGUUGAACGUUCUUUCUUCACAGAAAGCCUUGUGGAAAAAUUCAGUAUAUGAUGGACAAAGCCAAGCUGCCUUGGUUGAAGUUAAGGGAACAGAGCCCUUUCUCCUUAGCAACCCCUCUCCUCCCUGCGAGUCCCUUUGAAAAGCCUUCAUCUAGGAAAGCACUCCCCUUGGCAUGAUGCCGCUCAUAAGCCGUCUCAAUCCAUUCUAGCAUAAAACAAAUAAAGUCUUUCCUCACUUUAAUUAACUGAUUGUGUUUUAUUUUGAAAAUUUUAUCUGCCUAAUCUACUUCUGGCUGAAAUAAAAUGCUAACAUGGAUUUUCCCCAGGAUGGUAAUGCCAUAUGGUGAUUUGGACUCGGCUGGCUCAUGUUCCCCCUUGGGUUUCUUUAAACAAAGCAGAGACUGUGGGCACAAAAGUUUUCUCAACCAAAGAGAGAAAUGGAGUUUAACUUCGUAUGGAUAUAGCUGGGUGGAAAGCUUUGUGACCAAAGAGGUGUGAACUGCCUCCUCUGUUAUGGGCCAAUUGUCUUUUGUGAUGACCAAUAGCAUAAAAGAAGAAUUGCAGCAAUAUUGAUAUUUACUAACCUUUGAGUACCUUUACCAUCAGACAUUAAAUAACAACCCAUGUUCACAACCCUAGGUGUUUUCCUCUAUGUUACAGAUGUGUAAGUUAAGGCUGAGGUCGCAGGCAACCCUUUUAACCAGUGAGUGGAAAAGGUGGUAUUUUUGAGAAAUAUCAGGCGUCAAGGAGCAGAAUUCUUUGAUAUUAACAAUAAAAGGAAUGGGUGAGAGUAUCUUUGUGUAUACAUGGCUUUUGGCCCGAGAUGAAGUCCAAUUAUGAAGAUUGGGAAUGUAGCCGGAUCCUUUCUACAGAGAGAUGGUGCCCCGUGAUGAAGUACCUCUGCUCAUUUGUCAAUUUUCACAAUGCAUAACUGACAAAAAGAAAAAUGAAAGCAAAUCAGUCAAGUGGGUUUAUAGAUCCAGGGAGAUUGAAGUGGAGGAAAACCUUGGUCCAGGCCAGAUAGUUUCUAGUUCUCCCAUCUUUUCCACCCCUGCUAUUCCCAGGGUCAGCACACUUUUCUUGGAAAGGACUAGAUAGUGACUAUUUCAGAUUUGACUUGCCAUGAAAGUCCUCUGUUGCACAUACUCAUCCCCAAAUGCAAAACCAAAGCAGGGUUGCCUUAGAACAAACCUUCACUUGUGGACACGAAGUUUGAUCUUCAUAUAAUUUCCACGUGUCAUGGAAUGUAAGUCUUUUGAAUUUUUAGUUUGAAUCAUUAAAAACGUAAGAACCACUCUCAGCUCACAGACUACACAAGCAGGUAGGGGAUAGUUUGGGGUCUCAGGUAUGGUUUACCAAUCCCUACCCUGGCCUGACCACCCUCCCUUUGGUUUCUGAGCACAUGGCUUAUUGUCUCUAAGAUUUUGAGAUUUAAAUGUUGUUUCAGACCCCGUCUUGAAUCCUGGACUGGAGAGGACUGAGUCAGAGAAGCAUUUCCACUUGUGGUCUUUGCAAGCUGACCUGCAGAGUCACUGCUGCCCACUCAACUUCAGCCAAAGCAAAUUGAAGCCCUGGAGGCUGUCUAAGAGGAUUUAUAAUAAAAUGGAAAAUUCUUGGCAUGCAUUGUCAAUUUCUUUGAAGAUUAGAGGAUAAAUGCAGGGCUUUUUGGUAUCCCCAGAGGCUAUUUUAUUUCAAAGUGAUAUAGGC